rnacentral:rRNA from 1 species
UACGAAGGGGGCUAGCGUUGCUCGGAAUUACUGGGCGUAAAGCGCACGUAGGCGGUCUUUUAAGUCGGUGGUGAAAUCCUGGAGCUCAACUCCAGAACUGCCUUCGAUACUGGGAAACUUGAGUCCGGGAGAGGUGAGUGGAACUGCGAGUGUAGAGGUGAAAUUCGUAGAUAUUCGCAAGAACACCAGUGGCGAAGGCGGCUCACUGGCCCGGUACUGACGCUGAUGCACGAAAGCUAGGGGAGCAAACAGG